GCCCCAAUGUUAAAUGUAUGGAGACAUUUAGUCACUUUUGACCGAAGACACAACAAGUGUUAUUGUGCUGUAAAAUGAUUUUCAUGAUGAUUUUUUUUUUCAUGUAUAUUGCAAAUGUGUGCUGUUAAAUUGUUAAAUACAAAAAAUAGAUGUGGAUUUGGAUGCGUUCUAUUUAUGUUGAAAUAUUUUGUGAAUUUCCCUUAUUUUGAAUAAAACCGAGUGGUACAACAUUGUUAACUAGCUGCAAAUGAUACAGUACAUAAAGCAUUAUCAACGUUUAUGUCAGGCCAGCCAAUUCUGACCUGAACCACAACAAGUGUAACAGUUGUUGUUGCUGCUGUUGUUGUUGUUGUUGCUGCUGCUGUUGUUGUUGAUGUUGUUAUUGUAAUAUGUUUUUCUUUCUAUAAUCUGAUGUGAUUGUCAUACACAUGCUACUGUUUUAUGUAAAAUGCUUUAUAUAUCACUCUUGUAUUCAAUUUUUUCCAAAUAUGUUUUGGCAGUCAGUCGAGAAUCUGUGUGCAUAGAGUGCUGCUUGGGAGUACAAAGGUGUUGGGGAUUGGUGUCUUCAGUUUGGGGAUCCUACUAGUUGAGUAUUGGUGAACAAAUCUGAGGCACUCAGGAGGGUAAUACGUUCAGAACGCCUUUAAUAUCUCUUGGCUGUUUAGUCAAAGUAACAAUAAAAAAACAUGCUUAUGUGUUUCAGUCAUAAGAACCUUCAUAAGGGCAAGUCAAAAUGGCUGCCUUUGGGCUGUUUCUUAGAUGUUAACAAGUAGUCACAUGACUAGUAUGGACAGGUAAGUAGUCACAUAAUUAAUGUAGCCAGCUCAAGUCACAUGACAGAUCACAUCCAAACACACACACACUAUCAGAAUCAUCUUAAUGUCUUACUUAUGGCUAACAUCAUGUUCUGUCCUUCCUGUAUGUACCAGUUUGCCCUGAUGUAAGUCACUUUGGACAAAAGUGUCUGCCAAGGGCCUUGAACUUAAACUAAACUAUGAAAAGAUGAAGGUGCUCUUUCUCAUGUACGCAAUGUGUGUUUGCCUAGAGCAACACAACACCCAGGACCAACACUAUACAUGGUUAGAGAAAGAUGUGUGUGUGUGUGUGUGUGUGUGUGUGUGUGUGUGUGUGUGCUGGCAGAGAGAGACCAGAAACAACUAUUUAAAUACAUAAACAACAAAUACAGACAAUAACAAAUACAAACAACAAAGUCCUGUUUGAAAGCUGCAGUAACUCAGGAAAAUACAGUAUACAAUACAAAUGUAUUAUUGCACAUUAAACAUUAGAAACCUCAAUCAAUAAUCAAUGAAGUACCAAUAUACCAAUCAGACAAUAUACCAAUAUGUAUAUAACGAACAAAAUAGCAAUCCAUUUAUAAAUGACAUUUUAGCAUUGAGUCAUCUCUGAAUGAUAUCAGUCUAAAUAUAUAAUGCAAAUAAAGAAAUAAAAAAGUUCCCAAAGCAACAAAGCCUGGUUGUGUCCGUGCCUUCAGUCCUCAAACUCCCAGAUCUUUACUCAUUAGCAGACACGUAACACUCAGGGUGUUUACACCACACAGCACUACUCUUCAGCAGACACGUAACCCUGAGGGUGUUACACCACACAGCAAUACCUUUCAGCAGACACGUAACCCUGAGGGUGUUACACCACACAGCAAUACCCUUCAGCAGACACGCAAUCCUGAGGGUGUUACACCACACAGCACUACUCUUCAGCAGACACGUAACCCUGAGGGUGUUACACCACACAGCCGUUAGAGGUCUAGUCCAAAUGAGGAGGCGUGGCCACCAGCACUACUGUUCAGCAGAGUAGCAGUGGUGCGUUCACUACCACACAGCUCUGUGGAACCUCACUGGGGGGCAAUGACUAAAAAAAAUGAACAGCUCUGUGUAACCUGAGUGUGUCUCUGCUGCUCAUUUCAGUAGAGUAGGAAUGGUGCGUUCACUACCACUUCCGCUCUGUGUAACCUGAGUGUGUGUCUGCUGCUAGUUUCAGUAGAGUAGGAAUGGUGCAUUCACUACCACUUCCGCUCUGUGUAACCUGAGUGUGUAUCUGCUGCCAGAACUCAGGAGCACAUAUGGGGGAAAUAAGGAUUGUCUCUGUAUCUCCACUCUGUUGUUCCCAGCUUAGUGAACUACAGGCAGGAGGCAGGAUCACACCAGCAGGGCAUCUCAAUUCUCAUGAACUCCUGUACUGUGUGGUUUGGUUACAUCAUAAUUUCAUCAUGAUGGUACCCCUGAUUAACUACAUAAUUUCAUCAUGAUGUAACCUUAAUUAACCACAUAAUUCCACCAUUAUAGUACCCUUGGUUAGUUGUGUCUGCUGUGGUCAUUAACCUCCACAUUAACCUGCUGUGAGGAACAGACACACACUCUGCUACAUGCCUCCACAGGUGCACAGACACAGACACAGACACAGACACACACACACACACACACACACACACACACACACAGGUCACUGUCCGAGGUGCAUUUGAGCAUACACACUGUCUGCCUGCUGUGGGUCAGUGUGGUGUGUGGACUCUCACUUCCCCGUACUCAACCGACUCCUCUGGCCUGUGACUCUCAGUUGGGCCCCGUCGCUUACUGAAGGCAGACACCUCAGCAUACUCCAACUCAUACGCCUCAGCUGGGGAGAGUGGGAGAGGGAGAGGGAGGGAGGGAAGGAGGGAAGGAG
ensembl:lncRNA